GUCACACCCAGGGGCGGCUAUGCUUUGACUAAGCCACACCCCUUUUCAACUUCCACCUCGAGGAGGUCCCCAAAGCCAACCCAAUGGCCAAACAACACGAGAAACAAGUAAGUGAUAAAACAAUCUUUAUUUAAAUAUUUAAAAAUAGCUUGGGGAAUAGGGAAAGGGCAAUUAAAACUAAACUCUGACUCGGCCCUCCAGAUGGGCUAUGGCCGGGAAGAGGUCAGGGAGCAAGGGGGCCACGGGGAUCCGGGGCGUGGGACUCGGGGCCCGGCCAGAGUCUUAGGUAUCCGUAGCGCCCUCCUUCUUCCUCCUCUUCGCUGAAUACAACUCACGGUAAGUACUGGUUCACACAGUUCGUUCUCGGGGUGCUCACUCUCUUUCUCUUCCUCCACAGGCAACGGCUGGGACGCAAAGGCACAGUUAAUUCGGCUUGGUAUUGCUCUCACCUCUUCGCUGAUUGCAGCUCACAGUAUCAACUUGGACACAAAACACAGUUACUCUGCUUUGGAUGGCUUUCACCUCUGGGCUGGACACAACGUACUGUAAGUACAGGGUUCGCUCUAUUCCUCCUCGUGUUAUUCACUCUCUCUCCUUUUCUCUCCACAGGUAUCAACUUGGGCACAAUAGCACAGUUAGUUUGCUUUGAAUGACUCUCACCUCUGGACUGGACACAGCGUACUGUAAGUACAGGUUUCGCUCUAUUUCUCCUCGCGUUAUCCACUCUCUCUCCUCCUCUCUACAGGUAUCAACUUGGACACAAAACACAGUUACUCUGCUUUGGAUGGCUUUCACCUCUGGGCUGGACACAACAUACCGUAAGUACAGGGUUCGCUCUAUUCCUCCUCGUGUUAUUCACUCUCUCUCCUUUUCUCUCCACAGGUAUCAGAUUGGACACAAAGCACAGUUAGUUUGCUUUGAAUAGCUCCCACCUCUGGGCUGAACACAGCGUACCGUGCUAUCUCCGGAGAUCUGAAGCACGCUCACAACAUAUACUGUACUGAACUAGGCUAGAACCAGCAGUCUCCUUGUCCUCCCGCGACGGAGUGCGUGAAGGAGGGGGUUUAUCUGACAGGACACACGGCAAUACACAGCAACCCACAGCAAUAUACAGCACCACGUCAAAAUUUUAGGUUUUCACAGCACGAAGACUCACCCACCACACUCAGUGUACGAAAAGGACACCCGUCUUCCUUCACUUCGCUUGGUUCGGAUCUGGCGAUGGAAUAUGCGGCCUAGCUAGUGAUGUCGUCGUUGUGACUACUUCAAUAAGUAUUCCUUCGGCUCUCCCACCACGCUAUAUUAGGGGUAGGGCCGCCCUCCUCCUCCUGGGGAGAUCUACACAACGCCAGGUCAAUAUACAGGGCACUUUCGGCUUGCUCUUAGUACUCACAUCAAUGCCGCUUCCAAUCCCCUUUUUCACGUCGUCUCAAUUCGCCGUAUAAUCCGUUCACUUCUCAACCUUUAAGGUUCGCGAUGUCUUCACAAUCAUACAAUUCCAGCCUGAGGGAGAGAGAGAGUUAGACAGCCACCAGCAGCGCACCAAGACGGGCACGACACAGUGCUUCACACACACCAGAAAGAGCUCCCAGACUGUGAAAUAACUUGGCCUUAAGUACUGCCUUGUCCAGCGUAUCCUCCAAUCACCAACCGCUGUCCCUAACUAGGCACAGGUGCAUCGAAUUCCCUGAUUU
rnacentral:lncRNA from 1 species